GGAAAUGCAUGAGCACAGCUGCGGGCAGAAACUCGCUGAGUCAUGCAGUCUGCUAACAGCUUCACUCUGUCAACCUACUGUAAAACGUUAAGGCUCUGCAUUACAUAUCCUUAAUCAUUCUUUCUUCACACAAAAGAAUCUGAUUUUUCACAUCAAGCUUGAUGAAAAAGCUACCAGUUGGUUAUGCAAGUUCAGCACAUGGAACAGAUGCCAAGAAUUGCUGGCAGAACAUUACUGACUGAGAAAGCGAGAGACCUUUUGGAAAUUUCUAAAGCUAAUCUGUUAUCCCAGUUUUGCCCACUGACUCUUCCCCUUUGUUGGAUAUCACAAGCUUGAGUCUGGAUUCAUCUUUUCAUCCUCCCGUCAGGGAAAUCUGCUAAGAAACUCCGGAAAUGGAAUACCAGCACACUAAUUAAUCCAGUAUGACAAGAGGCAGAUGGACAAUUAAAUAAAUUCUUGAGAAAUAGGAACAGAAUUUAAAAACUGAUUACC
rnacentral:lncRNA from 1 species